AUUUAAAUAGCUUAUUUAGAGCAUAGUAUUGAAGAUACUAAGGAGAUAUAUAAUCUUUAAAUA
rnacentral:tRNA from 1 species